AUGACCUUCCAAGUUUUAUAAAGAAGUUGAUGAUUCCAUUUGCGUACUAAAUCGAACAAUUCCUCUCAUAUACCUAGCGUAUUGAGGUUUUAAUGGAGAUUGUGUCCGCGCAGCCCAUAUCUUGUUACAUUCUUUGAAUGCAGUGACACUAUAAUCGUUAGUAAAUUCUGAUUCUUU